CCGAAUAUGAAGGCUUGAGAAGCCAUGGAAGAAGCUUCCAACUUUCAGCUAAUGCAUGGUAGGCAUUUCUAGUCCCGUUUUUAAUUAUUUUUAUAUUUUCGGGAUCGUUGUUGCUUAAUCUAUCUAAUGAGGGGACUAUUUUGCAAAACCAUUGAAUAGUUUGAUAUUUUCCAUUGAUGAGUAUAAUAGGGCUUUGAAGUUUAAUGGAAGAAUAUGAGUCCUUGUUGAUAGUUAAACACUUUUUAUUAAGUGGGUUUUUGUGAAAUUGACAAUUAAGGGCUAAAUUGAUAAAUGUGAAAACUUUGUGGUUAAAAUGUCAAAUAAAUGAAAUGUGUGGGCUGCUAGAGACACUAGUGAUAUUCGUCUAUAGUAUAAUUUUACUCAAUUUCAUGAAUUUGCAUUUUUAUGAUAUAGGGACUAUAUUGUAAAGAAGUUGAAAUAUUAGGGGCAAAACUAUAAUUUUUCCAUAAAGUGAAUUAUGGACUGUUUUGAUACCAUGAACAUUUGGCUAAGCUUAAUUAUGGUUAAAAAUGGUUAAUUUGCAUGUUUUGAGCUCAGGGACUAAAAUGAAUAAAAGUAAAACUUUAGGGGUAAUUUUGUAAAAAUGACAAAAAUGACCAAAUUGUAUGAAAUGAGGUGUUUUAAUGUCUAAAUUAAUAUACUGAAUGAAAUUAUUAAUUUAGAUCAAGAUCGGGUGGAAAAUCGAGAAAAUUGAGAAAAUUACCAAAAUGCCCCUGAACUUUGGUAUCUCUACAAUUUAGCCAGGUAAGUUUGUAUGCAAUAAGCAUUGUUAAAUUGAUGUUUCUAAUGCUUUAAUAUUGUAUAAAUUGUAUAUACGUGAAUAUUUUAAUGUCUGACGACAUAUCGACAAAAUGUGGCACUUAGUGUGCAGGGCAAUCAAAUAUGGUACUCAGUGUACGAAAUAUUGAGAAUGACACUUAGUGUGCAAAAUAUCGAAUGAUUCAAAGGGAAAUUAUAAAUUGUGAUUGAAUGAUUAAAUAGAGCAAAGUGAACAGGUAUACAUGCUAUAUUAUAUGAAUUGUUUAUGAGACGACUUUAUAAUGGUGAUAUUUGGGCUUUGAGCCCAGCAAGCUUUAAGCUGGUGAAUAAUAUUAUCGGGUUUAAAACCUAGCAGGCUAAAUGCCGGUGAUUUGAUAAAAGUCUAAGACUAUGAGACCUUGUGUUAAAUCGGCAAUUGAAUUUGUUCAAUGCAUUAAGUUGGCCAGGUAUGUGAUAUAUUCUUAUGCAUAUUAGAUCGAUUGGAAUUGAAUCAUGAGUGUGAAAUGAGAAGCAUAGGUGAAAAUGCCUAUGUCAUAUAUGUGAGUAAGGGCAAAACCAUCGUAAAUUAUCGAUAAGGGUGGACUAUGUGCGGAAUCAUCUUAUAAUUGCUAAUUUGAACGGUUGUAUGCGAAUCAUUGAGCAUGAUGUAUUAUAUUGAGAUUAUGCUUGAGUGAAAUUAUAGAUAUGUGAUGAAAUUGAUUGGUGAUAUACAUGUUUAAAAAAUGUGAAUGCAAAGAAUGUGUGAAAGAGUAAAUUUGUAAUAAAUCUACUUGGGACAGCAGCAGUAACGUGAUUUUGGAAAAUCACAAUAAAUUGUUGGAGUUGAAUUAGAAGCUGAAUAAAUUAUGUAAUUAAAGCUUAAUGAGUCUAGUUUCUUAUAAAAGAAACCAUGUAAGCAAAAGAAUUGCUAAUAAUGAGAUAUUUGAAGUGGCGUGGGAUAGAGUCAAAUGACUUCGAGGUCCCCUGUUCUGUUUUUAGAAAAUCAUUAUAAUUUGUACAAAAAUGGUUAUAAGAUAAAAUUUAUAUGCUUAAUGAGUCUAGUUUCAAAUGAAAUCAAAUAUAACAUAUUUUGAAUUCUGUACAAUGAGAAAUUUGAUUCGUAGUGAAGAGUGGUCAGAUUAGUCAAACAGUGAAACAGGGGAAACUUUAAGAAAAAUCUGGUAUUUAUUUGCCAAACCUAAAAUUCUGAAAAUUUUAUGGAUGAAAGAUAUAUGAGUCUAUUUUGAGGGAAAAUUAACGGCAAUUGAUUUGGAGUUUUGUAGAUCCAGUUAUAAAUAAUUUAGUGACUAUUGCUCAGGAAGAUAACUUGUAGUGAAUUUGUGAUUAUGUUGUAAACAUUGAUAAAACUUGUUAAUGAGUUGCUUAUUGUUUUCUUAUGAACUUACUAAGCGUAAAGCUUACUCCCCUUUUCUUUCCCAUAUUCCCUAGGGUUGUCAGGUUAGCUCGGGUUGGAGGCCAUCAGAGAUAUUAUCACAUUGUCAAGUCUACGCUAUCGGUGUAAGUAAAUCUUAGUGUUUCGAGUCUAUGACAUGUAUAGUGUUGUAAAGUUGAGUAAGUAAAUGAUACAAGACUAAGAUAUUGGUAAAUAUUUAAUAAUGCCUCAUGAAUAUUUUGGGCCUUGUAAGCCCGAUUAAAGGAUAAUAUACGUGUGUAUGAAAAGUUUAAAAUUGAUCAAAAAAUUUUACGGUAUGGUUUUAUAUAAAUGGAUGAGUUUAAAUUUGGUAGCACCUCGAACCCUGUUCCGGCGAGGGAUACGGGCGAAGUGUGUUACAAAAUGGGCGGAGAAUUUAAAGAUCGAGAGCAUAAUUAGACUCUUAAAAAAUAUAUAGAUAAAUCUUAGGUUUCACUUCCCAUAAAUUGUAAAGACCCCCAUCAGGUAAAAUAUUUGACCUGAAUUAUCAUUAACCGAAUUAAUUAAAAUUUUAAAAUAUUUAGUAGUUAAUUAAAA
rnacentral:lncRNA from 1 species